UCCUUGGUGGCUCAGACGGUAAAGCAUCUGCCUACAAUGCAGGAAACCCAGGUUCGAUUCCGGGGUCGGGAG
rnacentral:tRNA from 1 species